rnacentral:rRNA from 1 species
UACAGAGGGUGCAAGCGUUGCUCGGAAUUAUUGGGCGUAAAGGGUAGGUAGGUGGUCUCAUUUGUCUGAGGUGAAAGCCUUGAGCUCAACUCAAGAAGUGCCUCAGAAACGGUGGGACUCGAGUCCUGGAGAGGGUCGUGGAAUUCCCGGUGUAGCGGUGAAAUGCGUAGAGAUCGGGAGGAACACCAGAGGCGAAGGCGGCGGCCUGGACAGGUACUGACACUAAACUACGAAAGCGUGGGGAGCAAACAGG